rnacentral:rRNA from 1 species
ACUGCUCAGUAACACGUGGAUAACCUGCCCUUGGGUCCGGCAUAACCCCGGGAAACUGGGGAUAAUUCCGGAUAACGCACAUAUGCUGGAAUGCUUUAUGCGUAAAAUGGAUUCGUCUGCCCAAGGAUGGGUCUGCGGCCUAUCAGGUAGUAGUGGGUGUAAUGUACCUACUAGCCUACAACGGGUACGGGUUGUGAGAGCAAGAGCCCGGAGAUGGAUUCUGAGACAUGAAUCCAGGCCCUACGGGGCGCAGCAGGCGCGAAAACUUUACAAUGCGGGAAACCGUGAUAAGGGGACACCGAGUGCUAGCAUCAUAUGCUGGCUGUCCAGGUGUGUAAAAUACACCUGUUAGCAAGGGCCGGGCAAGACCGGUGCCAGCCGCCGCGGUAACACCGGCGGCCCGAGUGGUGAUCGUGAUUAUUGGGUCUAAAGGGUCCGUAGCCGGUUUGGUCAGUCCUCCGGGAAAUCUGACAGCUCAACUGUUAGGCUUUCGGGGGAUACUGCCAGACUUGGAACCGGGAGAGGUAAGAGGUACUACAGGGGUAGGAGUGAAAUCUUGUAAUCCCUGUGGGACCACCUGUGGCGAAGGCGUCUUACCAGAACGGGUUCGACGGUGAGGGACGAAAGCUGGGGGCACGAACCGGAUUAGAUACCCGGGUAGUCCCAGCCGUAAACGAUGCUCGCUAGGUGUCAGGCAUGGCGCGACCGUGUCUGGUGCCGCAGGGAAGCCGUGAAGCGAGCCACCUGGGAAGUACGGCCGCAAGGCUGAAACUUAAAGGAAUUGGCGGGGGAGCACAACAACGGGUGGAGCCUGCGGUUUAAUUGGACUCAACGCCGGACAACUCACCGGGGACGACAGCAAUAUGUAGGCCAGGCUGAAGACCUUGCCUGAAUCGCUGAGAGGAGGUGCAUGGCCGUCGCCAGUUCGUACUGUGAAGCAUCCUGUUAAGUCAGGCAACGAGCGAGACCCCUACC